rnacentral:rRNA from 1 species
CACGUAGGGGGCGAGCGUUGUCCGGAUUUAUUGGGCGUAAAGGGCUCGUAGGCGGCUCAGUAAGUCGGGUGUGAAACCUCCAGGCUCAACCUGGAGACGCCACUUGAUACUGCUGUGGCUAGAGUCCGGUAGGGGAGCAUGGAAUUCCUGGUGUAGCGGUGAAAUGCGCAGAUAUCAGGAGGAACACCAGUGGCGAAGGCGGUGCUCUGGGCCGGAACUGACGCUGAUGAGCGAAAGCGUGGGGAGCAAACAGG